CUCAUAGUUUGCUCAGGUUUUGACUGUGUGACUAUAAAAGCUGUAAGAUAGCUGUAGUACUGCUUUAGCUUUAUACUAGCAGUCAGUUUGCCCCGGGCAGCACUCUUGUGGGGCGUCUCUGGAGCAUGCAAGUCCCAUCCCAUCCCCGUGUCUCAUUUGAAAAGUGCCACCGGAGCCGUGAAAUUUUCCUGUGGGCUGCAGCACCUGAGGCAAG